AGUUUAUGAGCUUGUAAUAUUAAGUCUAUGUUUUGAAAACAUAAUAAAGAAAAACUAAUUUUCUAUAAACUU
rnacentral:tRNA from 1 species